rnacentral:rRNA from 1 species
GGGCGCUCCCCUCACGCGAGUGGAGGCGCACCAGAGCGUACACGCUGAUACCCGAAAGAUGGUGAACUAUGCCCGGCCAGGACGAAGCCAGGGGAAACCCUGGUGGAGGUCCGCAGCGAUUCUGACGUGCAAAUCGAUCGUCGGAGCUGGGUAUAGGGGCGAAAGACCAAUCGAACCAUCUAGUAGCUGGUUCCCUCCGAAGUUUCCCUCAGGAUAGCUUGCGCUCAUGUGAACGAGUCUCAUCCGGUAGAGCGAAUGAUUAGAGGCCUUGGGGUCGAAACGACCUCAACCUAUUCUCAAACUCCAAAUAGAUGAGAACUCCGGCUUCCUUGAAACAUUUUUCUGAAGCCGGGGGCUCGGAUCAGAGUGCCAAGUGGGCCAAUUUU